ACACCUCCAAAUUAAAUUCAGAGCCGAGUGCAGUUUGGUUUUCACUUCAUGGGCAGUGUUACAAGCUUGUUAAUAAACAAAAUUUCAAGAAAUGUAAUAAAUCAUGACACCAUUAAGGAAUGAUGCACUUUAAAGAUGCCUCUUUAUCUUUAGGGAGUUUUUAUUAAGGGUUUAUGUCAUGCAUGUGCUGUACUGCUCUCUAUGUUCGAAGAACCCAGAGUCAUUCACAGGAGAAAGCUUUCACAAUCCUUUUUUAGGGAAAUGGUCAAACACCCAAGGAGGGGCUAUAUUGCCCCUCACCACCACCACUAGAAUUUCCAAGAAGAAUAAUAAUUUGAGGGAUCCUCUUUAUACUGAUGUUUAGUUUCUUCUUCCAUGCAUUCUCAUCUUCACUCAUCAUCCAACUCUUGUUUCUUCUUCUUUUACAAAGAAGAAGUUAUUCUUCUACAUUGUACCCCUUUCUCUCUCUAUAUAUAUAGAGAGAGAGAUUUGAGCUACUAAUCAAGAUCCGAUUUCGUAAAACCUGCCCAUAUCUCAAUUUUUUAUACAUAACUUUUUUCAUCAUCAAAAUUUCUCUGAGAAAACAGCCACAAUUGCUGUAUCCUAGCUAGUGACUGGUCCAAAAUGACGGAAGAAAAAGAAAAGGAAGAAGAAGAAACAAAUUAUGAUAUUUGAUUCUUUGUUUGGUAUGAGCGGACUCGGAAUACUAAUAGCACUGCAGCUAACCCAAAUUUAUUUGCUCAAAUUGAGCAGUUAAAAACUAACCUUCAUCUGUUGGAAAAAGGAUUGAGGUCAAAGGCUAAAUAUGUUUUGAAAGAUUGAGAGAAUUGCCUCACAGUCACAGACACUCAAAUGAAGUUUUAAAGGAAGCAAAUUGUUCUACACUCCAAAUCUAUAACUCACUUAACUCUGUGAAACAAAUUGGUUCUGAUAAGUCAGGGACCGGAGGGGAAAUUGUGCUAACAACAGUGUAACUUCAAAUUCAGGUCCAGCUAAUUAUCAUCACCAACUAUUUGUUUGUUUUAGGUGAUCAAUGUCGCUUGAUUUAUUCCAACUUGUUCGGAUUUAGUUUUCCAAAGAAGAUGCUUUGUAGUCACUAGUCAGUACAUGCUGUGAAUUUAAGUGAGAAUCAGAGAGACAUGGAAUCGACUCAUGAGAUACAACUCUAUAAUGUUCUUCUUUUCUUAUUGAACAGAUUUCAAGCAGUGAUAUAUACAAGGAAUGAAGAAAAAGGAAUGUGUUCUUCUUUGUAUCAACAUGGCAAAUUUUGAGUUACCUUUUCUUUAGAUUGCAAAUCUUAAAUCAUGAGAUGAGAUAGAUCUCUGGCUGUUAUGUAAAGAGGAGGCAUACAUUAACGUGGUUCUUCACUUUAUUA